AGUGAACGCUGGCGGUAGGCCUAACACAUGCAAGUCGAACGGCAGCACAGUAAGAGCUUGCUCUUACGGGUGGCGAGUGGCGGACGGGUGAGGAAUACAUCGGAAUCUACUUUUUCGUGGGGGAUAACGUAGGGAAACUUACGCUAAUACCGCAUACGUCCUACGGGUGAAAGCAGGGGAUCUUCGGACCUUGCGCGAUUGAAUGAGCCGAUGUCGGAUUAGCUAGUUGGCGGGGUAAAGGCCCACCAAGGCGACGAUCCGUAGCUGGUCUGAGAGGAUGAUCAGCCACACUGGAACUGAGACACGGUCCAGACUCCUACGGGAGGCAGCAGUGGGGAAUAUUGGACAAUGGGCGCAAGCCUGAUCCAGCCAUACCGCGUGAGUGAAGAAGGCCUUCGGGUUGUAAAGCCCUUUUGUUGGGAAAGAAAAACAGCAGGUGAAUACCCCGCUGUUCUGACGGUACCCAAAGAAUAAGCACCGGCUAACUUCGUG
rnacentral:rRNA from 1 species